UGCUCGGUGUGGCACUCGCACCACACGCUCUCGCCUCGCGACGCCACCGCCAUGGCGGCGACCUCGCCGCCGAUCAGGUCGCUUUUCCUCACCCCUUCUCCAGCGCUCAGCCGUAUCUCCUUUCCUUCCUACCGCCCACACCGCCGCACUGCUCCUCCUCCCGCUCGGUGCCGCCGGACGAAGCCGCCCGUGCUAGACGAGGAGCGGCUCCAGAGGGAGACUUCACCGGACGCCAAGGCCGAUAGGAACGAUGGACGAGAGAAGAUGCGCGGGUGGUUCACGCUUGAUGACAUUGGAAUGGAUAUCCUCACCAUCGCCUUGCCUGCUGUGCUCGCCCUCGCCGCCGACCCCAUUACGGCGCUCAUCGAUACCGCCUUCGUUGGUCAUGUUGGCUCGGCUGAACUUGCUGCCGUUGGAGCAUCCAUUUCUAUCUUCAAUUUGGUAUCCAAGCUGCUCAAUGUGCCAUUGCUCAACGUCACCACAUCCUUUGUUGCCGAGCAGCAGGCAGUGGAUGCCGAUCAUAAUAGCUCAAUACAAAAAGAUGAGAUUUCGAGCCCACAAGAAAAGGCAGGUGAACAAAGGAAGUUUCUUCCAGCUGUCUCAACAUCCUUGGCUCUAGCUGUUGGCAUCGGAUUGAUGGAAACGGUGACACUGAUCCUUGGGUCUGGGACACUAAUGGACAUCGUCGGUAUAACUGUUGAUUCACCAAUGCGUAUACCAGCAGAACAAUUUCUUAUUUUAAGGGCAUAUGGUGCACCACCAGUCAUCGUAGCACUUGCAGCACAGGGUACUUUUCGUGGAUUCAUGGAUACAAAGACACCGUUGUUUGCUGUGGUUGCUGGUAACCUAGUGAAUGCAUUGCUGGAUGCUAUAUUUAUUUUUCCACUUGGUCUAGGCGUAAGUGGCGCUGCAUUGGCAACAGUGACUUCUGAGUAUUUGACAGCGUUCAUCCUCCUCUGGAAGCUAAAUAGCAGAAUGGUUCUGUUCUCAUGGCAUGUCAUUGCUGGAGACAUCGUCCGUUACCUAAAAUCUGGUGCACUGCUAAUUGCAAGAACCAUAGCAGUAGUCCUGACAUUCACAGUGUCAACAUCCCUGGCUUCCAGGGAAGGGCCUGUUCCAAUGGCUGGCUAUGAGAUAUGUUUGCAGGUGUGGUUAACAAUUUCUCUGCUCAAUGAUGCACUCGCUCUUGCUGGUCAGGCUCUACUCGCGAAUGAAUAUGCAAAAGGAAACUAUAAGAAAGCCCGUGUUGUCUUAUACAGAGUUCUGCAGGUUGGAGGUGUAACUGGCGUAACACUUGCUACAGCCUUAUUCCUUGGGUUUGGAUAUUUGUCCAUGCUGUUUACAGAUGAUCCGGCAGUAUUAGACGUUGCUCGAACUGGAGUCUGGUUUGUCACUGUUUCUCAACCGAUAAAUGCUGUUGCUUUUGUGGCUGAUGGGCUCUACUAUGGUGUUUCUGACUUUAGUUUCGCGGCAUACUCUACGGUUCAGAUUAUUGGCGGGGGCUGUCUCAUCAGCAGUAAUGCUUGUGGUCGCUCCUAAGUUUGGUCUUGGUGGCGUCUGGGCUGGUCUUACUCUAUUUAUGAGUUUGCGAGCAAUUGCUGGGUUCUGGAGGUUAGGGAGCAAAGGCGGACCAUGGAAAAUAAUCUGGUCUGAAACUGAAUAAAGUUAAAGGAUGUAAUGAUGUAUGCUCAAUAAUUCGAUUAAUCUCCCACAGUAACAUUAAGGAGAAAGACAGAUAACUGCUGGUCAAUCCAGUGAAAGAUUUUUUUUUUUCGUUAGGAGAUGACAGACAGGGUACUCUUGUAGUGAUUUGGUUAGAAGUAGGUGUAAUACUUGUUGCUGGCUCUUGAUAGAUAGUAUUGUAGCCCUAUUUAUUUGGAUUGCUAUAGGAAAUUGGUUCAACUUGUACAGUACUGUUUAUAGAAUAGAUGCCCUGUAUACAAGAAAACUGAAAGCUGAUGCAUAGAGACACAUUCAGAGCCAUCCAUGUAAUGUAAAUGAGAGACAUUUGGUGGAA